UACGUAGGGACCAAGCGUUGUUCGGAUUUACUGGGCGUAAAGGGCGCGUAGGCGGCCUGCUAAGUCGAACGUGAAAUCCCUGGGCUCAACCCAGGAACUGCGUCCGAUACUGGUUGGCUUGAAUCCGGGAGAGGGAUGUGGAAUUCCAGGUGUAGCGGUGAAAUGCGUAGAUAUCUGGAGGAACACCGGUGGCGAAGGCGACAUCCUGGACCGGUAUUGACGCUGAGGCGCGAAAGCCAGGGGAGCAAACGGG
rnacentral:rRNA from 1 species